CAGCAGCCACGGGAAUACGGAGGGUGCAAGCGUUAAUCGGAAUUACUGGGCGUAAAGCGUGCGUAGGCGGUUCGUUAAGUCUGUUGUGAAAGCCCCGGGCUCAACCUGGGAAUGGCAAUGGAUACUGGCGAGCUAGAGUGUGUCAGAGGAUGGUGGAAUUCCCGGUGUAGCGGUGAAAUGCGUAGAGAUCGGGAGGAACAUCAGUGGCGAAGGCGGCCAUCUGGGACAACACUGACGCUGAGGCACGAAAGCGUGGGGAGCAAACAGGAUUAGAUACCCGUGUAGUCCCUGUCUCUUAUAC
rnacentral:rRNA from 1 species